GAUAAGAUAUGUUAAAGGAAAGGACAAUAUCAAAUGUGCUGCCUAUUUUUUUCUCAACUUUGAAGCACUCUUGGCCAAAAGUUAAGUUCACACGCGUGAGGUUCAUAUGCAAAACUUUCUCUCGAUCUCUCUCUCUCAACUCCAGUAGCCAUUAAGUUGUUCAUCACAAGUACUCAAUUUCAGAAAUUAUUAACCACCACUACCAAUACUCUACACUAUCACAAAAGCGUUGUCCAAUCUAGAUCUGCAAGUAGAACACCAAAUUGGUAAUUACUUGAUUAUAAAUAGUGAUUUUUUAUUUUGAAUAUUAUUUUUUG
rnacentral:lncRNA from 1 species